GACGAACGCUGGCGGCGUGCCUAAUACAUGCAAGUAGAACGCUGAAGGAGGAGCUUGCUUCUCUGGAUGAGUUGCGAACGGGUGAGUAACGCGUAGGUAACCUGCCUGGUAGCGGGGGAUAACUAUUGGAAACGAUAGCUAAUACCGCAUAAGAGUAGAUGUUGCAUGACAUUUGCUUAAAAGGUGCAAUUGCAUCACUACCAGAUGGACCUGCGUUGUAUUAGCUAGUUGGUGGGGUAACGGCUUACCAAGGCGACGAUCCAUAGCCGACCUGAGAGGGGGAUCGGCCACACUGGGACUGAGACACGGCCCAGACGCCUACGGGAGGCAGCAGUAGGGAAUCUUCGGCAAUGGACGGAAGUCUGACCGAGCAACGCCGCGUGAGUGAAGAAGGUUUUCGGAUCGUAAAGCUCGGUUGUAAGAGAAGAACGAGUGUGAGAGUGGAAAGUUCACACUGUGACGGUAUCUUACCAGAAAGGGACGGCUAACUACGUG
rnacentral:rRNA from 1 species